AUUGAACGCUGGCGGCAGGCCUAACACAUGCAAGUCGAACGAGUGGCGGACGGGUGAGUAAUGUAUGGGAAACUGCCUGAUGGCGGGGGAUAACUACUGGAAACGGUAGCUAAUACCGCAUACCAUCAGAUGUGCCCAGAUGGGAUUAGCUUGUUGGUGGGGUAACGGCUCACCAAGGCAACGAUCCCUAGCUGGGUUGAGAGGAGGACCAGCCACACUGGAACUGAGACACGGCCCAGACUCCUACGGGAGGCAGCAGUGGGGAAUAUUGCACAAUGGGCGCAAGCCUGAUACAGCCAUGCCGCGUGUAUGAAGAAGGCCUUCGGGUUGUAAAGUACUUUCAGCGGGGAGGCGUUACCCGCAGAAUAAGCACCGGCUAACUCCGUGCCAGCAGCCGCGGUAAUAC
rnacentral:rRNA from 1 species